rnacentral:rRNA from 1 species
UGGACGGAAGUCUGAUGCAGCGACUGCCGCGAUGGAUUAUGAAGGCCCUCGGGUUGUAAAAUCCUUUACAAGGGGACGAGGAAGGACGUGUACCCUUGGAACAAGUGUCGGCUAAGUACGUGCCAGCAGCCGCGGUAAGACGUAGGACACGAGCGUUAUGCUGAUUUACUGGGCGUAAAGCGUCUGCAGGCGGACAUGUAAGUUGGGCGUGAAAGCUCCGGGCCCAACCCCGGAGAGGUCGUUCAAUACUGCGUGUCUAGAGGGUUUCAGAGGGGAGUGGAAUUUCCGGAGUACCGGUAAAAUGCGCAGAGAUCGGAAAGAACACCUAUGCCGAAGGCAGCUUCAUGGGGCAUACCUGACGCUAAGAGACGAAAGCUAGGGGAGCGUACAGGAUUAGAGACCCUGGUAGUCCUAGCCCUAAACGAUGGAUGCUGGAUGUGGGGCCAUAGCGCUCCGUGUCGAAGCGAACGCGUUAAGCAUCCUGCCUGGGGACUACGGCCGCAAGGUUAAAACUCAAACGAAUUGACGGGACCCCGCACAAGCAGCGGAGCGUGUGGUUUAAUUAGAUGCUACACGAAGAACAUUACCUGGGUUUGAUAUCUAGGUGGUAGCGAAGUGAAAGCGGAGCGACCCUUCGGGGAGCCUAGACAGGUGCUGCAUGCCUGUCGUCAGCUCGUGCCGUGAGUUGUCGGGUUAAGUCCCGUAACGAGCGCAACCAUUGCCAUCCGUUAUACGUGUCAGAGGGGAUUGCCGGCGGUAAGCCGGAGGAAGCUCCGGAUGACGUCAAGUCAGCAUGGCCUUUAUAUCCAGGGCUACACACACGCUACAAUGGCCAGUACAAAGGGCAGCGAAGCCGCGAGGUGGAGCGAAUCUCAGCAAAGCUGGUCGUAGUUCGGAUUGCAGGUUGCAACCUGCAUGCAUGAAGCUGGAGUUGCUAGUAACUGCGCGUCAGCCAUACCCGCCUGAAUACGUUCCCGGGCUUUGUACACACCGCCCGUCACGUCAUGGGAGUCGAUU